UACGGGGGGGGCAAGCGUUGUUCGGAAUUACUGGGCGUAAAGGGCUCGUAGGCGGCCAACUAAGUCGGAUGUGAAAUCCCCAAGCUUAACUUGGGAACUGCAUCCGAUACUGGAUGGCUUGAAUCCGGGAGAGGGAUGCAGAAUUCCAGGUGUAGCGGUGAAAUGCGUAGAUAUCUGGAGGAACACCGGUGGCGAAGGCGGCGUUCUGGACUGCAACUGACACUGAGAAACGAAAGCCAGGGUAGCAAACGGG
rnacentral:rRNA from 1 species